AGAAAGACACACGUAAAGAGAAAUAGAGAGCCUCCCUCGCUCCUCACUUUAAACUCCUGGUCGAUCGGCCAGGUCGCGGACACAAACCACGAAAAAACUGCUCUCACUUGUAUAACGCCGGCUCGUAUGAGUGCUGACCUGCUGCACUGUUCCGACUCAUAAUCAGUUCUUCCGUUUUAUUCGAUUACAACGGCCCGUUGUUGUUGUCGCUGUUACUGCUGGUGCUGCUCCUAUUCCUGCUGUUGCUGUUGUUGCUGCUACUACUGCUGCUGCUGCUGCUGCUGCUGCUGCUGCUGCUGCUGCUUCGCCUUUGGCGAUCACAGAUUGCUCGCACGAUUCUCUUUUAUUUAAUCUUUAUAUUAUAUUCCUCUUCCUCUUCCCUAAUACCUAUUUAGCGAUUAAAGCCUUCUCCCUUGUUAAUACAUAUACAUAUAUAUAUACAUAUAUAUAUAUACAUAUAUAUAUUAGCCGCUCCUCUUUUUACUGGAUGAUCGUGUCCAUCCGCCUGGUGAAAAAGCACGCGCGGAACGUGGUAAAACGACGACGACACGACGAAACGACGACGACAACGACUCUGCGACUGCGACUGCGAUUGCGACGACAACGAUAGGGCGAUAGUAGCGGCGGCGAACGGCGGCGGCGGCGGCGGCGACGGCGGCGGCGGCGGCGGCGGCGGCGGCGGCGGUGGUGGUGGUGGUGGCGGUGGCGGCGGCGGCGGCGGUGGUGGUGGUGGUGGUGGCGGCAAUGGCGGCGGCGGCGGCGGCGGCGGCGACGGCGACGACGGCGACGGCGACGACGGCGGCGACAGCGACGACGACGAUCACGACAGACAGCGGCGGACUAUGCGUCGUAAGAGAACCGACUUUGCGAAACGGGACAAAUAUAUGCAGCACUGACGGAAGCCUCGAUGCAAUUUUGAGAAAAGGGUGAAAAGUCGCGGCAUACCACGAUGGAAUAUACUCAUCGUUUUUCACAAACCGGAUUCCAAAAGUCUACCACCGAAAAUGGCCGGUUCACGUACAUAUACAUAGAUGAUUGUACCGGGGAAUCUCUCGAAUCGAGAAACAGACGUAACGCCACUGCCACCGCGCGCGCGAACGAAGAGGAAGAAGGCCAGAUAGCGCGAGAAGGACGGCUAAAAACCCCCUCGAGGUUUCGACUCAGCAUCCCACGAUAUCUACAUCUAUUUUUGGCCACGUAUUUCAUGUGCUCCGAUGCGUCAGCCCUGGAUAAUGUUCGGCACGGACUAAAAUUUAUGUUUAUCGCGGGGGAGUACGAGAACGAGCUUCGAGUGAAUACUGGGAAUUUUAAUUUCAAUAUAGGUAUAAGGAAAU